CAAAUUUUCAUCAAAAUGUCAGUAUUGGAUCCGUACUGAAUCGUAUGCCCUUAAAUCCUCAUUUAUAUCGACAGGAAAAUGUAAUCAGUAUUGUACAGGCUGAUUUUAUCCGUAUUAUGGCAGAUUUGCUCAUAUGAUUUAAUACUUUGUAUAAAUAGUUUAUAAGCCUAUCUAGGCUGGGUAUUUGUCUAAUUUUAUUAUUG
rnacentral:lncRNA from 1 species